AGUGAACGCUGGCGGUAGGCCUAACACAUGCAAGUCGAACGGCAGCACAGUAAGAGCUUGCUCUUACGGGUGGCGAGUGGCGGACGGGUGAGGAAUACAUCGGAAUCUACUUUUUCGUGGGGGAUAACGUAGGGAAACUUACGCUAAUACCGCAUACGACCUACGGGUGAAAGCAGGGGAUCUUCGGACCUUGCGCGAUUGAAUGAGCCGAUGUCGGAUUCGCUAGUUGGCGGGGUAAAGGCACACCAAGGCGACGAUCCGUAGCUGGUCUGAGAGGAUGAUCAGCCACACUGGAACUCAGACUCGGUCCAGACUCCUACGGGAGGCAGCAGUGGGGAAUAUUGGACAAUGGGCGCAAGCCUGAUCCAGCCAUACCGCGUGGGUGAAGAAGGCCUUCGGGUUGUAAAGCCCUUUUUUUGGGAAAGAAGAGCAGCAGGUUAAUACCCCGCUGUUCUGACGGUACCCAAAGAAUAAGCACCGGCUAACUUCGUG
rnacentral:rRNA from 1 species